GAAGUGGUCUGGAACGGCCUGCCAUAGACGGUGAUAGUCCGGUAGACGAAAACAUGUUGGCUCUCGUGAGUGAUACCCGAGUAGCAGCGGGCCCGUGAAAUCUGCUGUGAAUCUGCCGGGACCACCCGGUAAGCCUGAAUACUCCCUGGUGACCGAUAGCGGACUAGUACCGUGAGGGAAAGGUGAAAAGUACCCCGGGAGGGGAGUGAAAUAGUACCUGAAACCGUGCGCUUACAAUCCGUCAGAGCCUUCUGCUUGCAGUGGGGUGAUGGCGUGCCUUUUGAAGAAUGAGCCUGCGAGUCAUCGGUGUGUGGCGAGGUUAACCCGUGUGGGGUAGCCGUAGCGAAAGCGAGUCCGAAUAGGGCGCCCUUUAGUCGCACAUUAUGGACCCGAAGCGGAGUGAUCUACCCAUGGCCAGGGUGAAGCGACGGUAAGACGUCGUGGAGGCCCGAACCCACUUAGGUUGAAAACUGAGGGGAUGAGCUGUGGGUAGGGGUGAAAGGCCAAUCAAACUCCGUGAUAGCUGGUUCUCCCCGAAAUGCAUUUAGGUGCAGCGUCACGUGUUUCACGCCGGAGGUAGAGCUACUGGAUGGCCUAGGGGGCCCACAAGCUUACCGAAGUCAGCCAAACUCCGAAUGCCGGUGUGUGAGAGCGUGGCAGUGAGACUGCGGGGGAUAAGCUUCGUAGUCGAGAGGGAAACAGCCCAGAUCGCCGGCUAAGGCCCCUAAGCGUGUACUAAGUGGAAAAGGAUGUGGGGUCGCUUAGACAACCAGGAGGUUGGCUUAGAAGCAGCCACCCUUGAAAGAGUGCGUAAUAGCUCACUGGUCAAGUGAUCCUGCGCCGACAAUGUAGCGGGGCUCAAGUACACCGCCGAAGCCGCGGCAUU
rnacentral:ncRNA from 1 species